AUGUCAAACUUUCUGCUGGUGAUGCUGGGACUCCUUGUACAGGGAUCAAUGGCAGAUAUAGUCCUGACUCAGUCUCCAGCAGCUCAGUCUGUUCAGCCUGGAGACACUGUCUCUAUCAGCUGUACAGCCAGUGAGGAUGUGAGCGGCCUGCUCAACUGGUACCUGCAGAAACCUGGUCAGGCUCCUAAACUUCUGAUUUAUCUUGCCACACUUCGCCAGAGUGGGAUUCCUGAUCGUUUCAGUGGGAGUGAAUCUGAGACUCAGUUCACACUGAAAAUCACUGGAGUCCAGGCUGAAGAUGCAGGAGAUUAUUACUGUCAGAGUUAUCACAGUGGUAGCAGCGUGUUCACACAGUGUUAGAGAG